rnacentral:rRNA from 1 species
GGGUUGUGAGGUUAAGCGACUAAGCGUACACGGUGGAUGCCCUGGCAGUCAGAGGCGAUGAAGGACGUGCUAAUCUGCGAUAAGCGCCGGUAAGGUGAUAUGAACCGUUAUAACCGGCGAUUUCCGAAUGGGGAAACCCAGUGUGAUUCGUCACACUAUCAUUAACUGAAUCCAUAGGUUAAUGAGGCGAACCGGGGGAACUGAAACAUCUAAGUACCCCGAGGAAAAGAAAUCAACCGAGAUUCCCCCAGUAGCGGCGAGCGAACGGGGAGGAGCCCAGAGCCUGAAUCAGCAUGUGUGUUAGUGGAAGCGUCUGGAAAGGCGCGCGAUACAGGGUGACAGCCCCGUACACAAAAGCGCAUGUGCUGUGAGCUCGAUGAGUAGGGCGGGACACGUGGUAUCCUGUCUGAAUAUGGGGGGACCAUCCUCCAAGGCUAAAUACUCCUGACUGACCGAUAGUGAACCAGUACCGUGAGGGAAAGGCGAAAAGAACCCCGGCGAGGGGAGUGAAAAAGAACCUGAAACCGUGUACGUACAAGCAGUGGGAGCCCCACCACUAAGCCAGUGGUGAACUCCACAUCCGCAUCCUUUGCUGAGGAUACGGUUAACGGAGCGAAAGCGACGUUCAACCGCAAAACAAGCAGAGGGGGCUUAGUGGUGGGGUGACUGCGUACCUUUUGUAUAAUGGGUCAGCGACUUAUAUUCUGUAGCAAGGUUAACCGUAUAGGGGAGCCGGAGGGAAACCGAGUCUUAAUUGGGCGUUAAGUUGCAGGGUAUAGACCCGAAACCCGGUGAUCUAGCCAUGGGCAGGUUGAAGGUUGGGUAACACUAACUGGAGGACCGAACCGACUAAUGUUGAAAAAUUAGCGGAUGACCUGUGGCUGGGGGUGAAAGGCCAAUCAAACCGGGAGAUAGCUGGUUCUCCCCGAAAGCUAUUUAGGUAGCGCCUCGUGAAUUCAUCUCCGGGGGUAGAGCACUGUUUCGGCUAGGGGGCCAUCCCGGCUUACCAACCCGAUGCAAACUGCGAAUACCGGAGAAUGUUAUCACGGGAGACACACGGCGGGUGCUAACGUCCGUCGUGAAGAGGGAAACAACCCAGACCGCCAGCUAAGGUCCCAAAGUCAUGGUUAAGUGGGAAACGAUGUGGGAAGGCCCAGACAGCCAGGAUGUUGGCUUAGAAGCAGCCAUCAUUUAAAGAAAGCGUAAUAGCUCACUGGUCGAGUCGGCCUGCGCGGAAGAUGUAACGGGGCUAAACCAUGCACCGAAGCUGCGGCAGCGA